GCCGCCGCCCCUCGCCCGCCCGCCCCGGGAGAGGAGCGGGGCCGCCCGCCCGCCCGCACCUGCUGCUGCUGCGGCGGCGGCGGCUCCGGGGCGGGGAGCGAGAGCGGCCGCCGCGCCCCGCCGGCCUCACGUAGGGCCCAUCCGGGUCCCGCGCGGGCGCGGCGGGCCCGGGCAGCGGGGCCGUCCCCGGGAGCGGGGCGCACGGCCGCCCCCCGCCCGCGGCGCGCCCCUCCGUUCCGCUCGUCCAUGAGGGGAAGCGGCCCGUAACGCGACAGUUACCGGGCGCCCCGGGAGGGGAGGGAGGCCCGCGGCGGGAAGCCAGGGGCAGCAGCUCCCCGCGGCGGCACUAGGGGACGCUCCGCGCUCGCUCUGGCAGGCGGGAAGGGCGCGGCGGCGCGUCCUGCGGCCCUGAACCACCGUGCGGUCGGUGCCGCUUUUACAAGCCCUGCGAGUGGUCUCCAGGGGGAGGUGCAGCAACAGAACAAAGAGGAAAACCAAAACGGCUUCAAACAAAGCAGGAUUUGUGGACACAGAAGCCUUCUGGGAAGAACUCUUCUCUUGAAAGCAGUGGAGAAGGCUGAGGCCACGGUGGGCAUGCCAAGAGCCACCGGGAUGAGCAGAAAGUAAGACACAAAAACCAUCCCCAAACCACCUUACUUGAGUUACCGUGUUCCACAGUGACCAAGGGACGCUCAGACCUUCAGGACACACAUCUCCCAGCACGGUUCUCAGACACGGUCUCACCGCAACUGCUUCUGAGGAACACAUUCAAUAGGCUAAAGCUACCUACUUUUUCCUGCAGUAGACAAAUCUCAUGUUACUCUUUCAUACAGGAUACUCUAAUUCACCUUUUCUCAACACCCAGCUAUUAAAAGGUAGCUGAAUGCAUUCAGUCACAAACCUUAGAGAUCCAAACCUGGGAUCCUAGAUCAUAUCUUCCACCCAAGUAGUAACAUAUCAGUAUCCUGAAUUAUUUAAAUCUUAACUCUGAGGCAAACAUUGAUAAAAAAGAAUCACAUUUAAAGCAUUUAUUUUGAAAAAUAAAAUACAAAAGAUCAUUGAAUUGUAAUUGUACAUUAUCAACUUUUUUUAAAUAAAAGAUAUUUAACAAUUUUCACAAAUGAAUAAAACAACUGUUCCACCAAAAGUCUUUCAGGACAAGGACAGAAAACUCUUUUGAAAGUUUCAUACAUAUACAACCAAACUGCUACAUGGGAAAAAAAAAAAUCUGUGAAGAUGGGAGUUUUGGAAUUAAGACAGAAUAGCAAUUUGAGAGACAGGCAUUGCUUUGCAUUCGUUAAAACCUUAAAAUAGUUGUGCAAAUGUGAUAUGGUUCUACAUUAAUAUCGGGGGGGGGGUUUCCUUUUUUUUUUCUUCCAGGUUUACAUGCACUCACAAUGACAAAAUUUUGAACAAAAACAGUAUGAAAGAAAUGGGGGAGAAAACUCUGAAAAAAGCAGGCCAUGAGCAGUGCACCUCACUGGUCUUGGUGGCACAGUACUUGUAAGAUCAUUUCCAUUGAAAAGGCAGCAGUCUUUUUUCUAAAGGAAAAAGAAAAAUAAAAGUUAUGUUUGAGCUUUCAAGAUCAUCUGCUCUGAUUUGUCAUGGCUAGAUUAGCAGAUCUUAAAUCUGCAAGGCUAUGGGAGGGAGAAUUAAUUUCACCACACAUUGGAGAGGAAAAGACGAUGACCCACGCACACCCAGAGGAGCCCUUCAUGCUACAGAAACGGAGCACUCCAGCAGAAGCCCCAUGCAACAAGUCCAUCUGGUCUGCUCUGUCGCCGUGAGGAGACACGAAGAGCUGCCCAGCAGCAAGGGAUGCCACCUCCCAAACUGAACUCCUAUGUCCGUACCCAGGCUAGUGGUUACAGCCCAGAACCUUCCCAUCACGCCUAUAUGAGGAAAGGGCGUGAGGCUGGAAGCGUGCCUCCCACACAGUCACGAAGCUGGGGAGAACGUAGCAAGGGAUCCUGCAGUCUAAGAGAGCUACAUGGUAAGGGUUUUGCUUUUAACUAUUGCAAUGGUUAGGUCUCUUAGGUAGCUCUUGACAAUUAACAGCACUGAAGGGUACCAGAUAAUGAAUUCUCAGUAAAAUCUGAAGUUCAAUAGCUCACUUGAUUAUUACAUCAACACACCAUCGCUACCCAUGGCUGAAAUGGUUUUAUCUGAUACAGUAGUAGUUCUUUUUAAAAAUCUCUCAUUACUUACCUCUGCCCUCUAUACUAUUACUUGCUUUAACCCUUUCCAUGCAAGGCAACAAAAUAUAGAGCUUCACUACAAACAACCUUUGCAGUUUGGUCUACACAAGGGAGUCGCUUUCCUUGAGUUUCUCAGCAACACUCAGACAGCGCAGCUUUACAAGCACCA